UCAUUAAAUCAGUUAUAAUCUAUUAGAUUUUAACUAUCUACAUGGAUAACUGUAGUAAUUCUAGAGCUAAUACAUGCCUUAAGCUUCGACCUUACGGAAGAGGUGGCACUUUAUUAGACCAAGAUCAUCGGGUUCGUCCCUUUGUGAAUGGUGACUCUUGAUAACUACGCUAAUCGCAUGGCCUUAGUGCCGGCGAUAGGUCUAAUGAGUAACUGCCCUAUCAACUAGAUGGUAGGUUAGUCGCCUACCAUGGUUGUUACGGGUAACGGGGAAUCAGGGUUCGAUUCCGGAGAGGGAGCCUGAGAAACGGCUACCACAUCCAAGGAAGGCAGCAGGCACGCAAAUUACCCACUCUUAGAACGAGGAGGUAGUGACGAAAAAUACCGGUGCGGGACUCUUAGGAGGCCUCGUAAUCGGAAUGAGCCAGACAUAAAUCCUCUCACGAGGAGCUAUUAGAGGGCAAGUCUGGUGCCAGCAGCCGCGGUAAUUCCAGCUCUAAUAGCGUAUACUAAAAUUGUUGCGUUUAAAAAGCUCGUAGUUGGAUCUCGACUCAUGUCAAGUAGCCCACCUUGGUGGUUACUACUUGGCUGAGUUAAAAAAGGAUUCGUCUCUUAAUGCUCUUAAUUGAGUGUUUUGAGCGAACCAUAGUCUUUACUUUGUUAAAACCAGAGUGCUUCAAGCAGGCAUUCGCCCGAAUAAUCUUGCAUGGAAUAAUGGAAUAGGACUUCGGUUCUAUUCUGUUGGUCUUCGGAUCCGAGGUAAUGAUUAAGAGGGACAGACGGGGGCAUUAGUAUUACGGCGCUAGAGGUGAAACUUAAAGGAAUUGACGGAAGAGCACCACCAGGAGUGGAGCCUGCGGCUUAAUUUGACUCAACACGGGAAAACUCACCCGGCCCGGACACGAUAAGGAUUGACAGAUCGAUAGCUCUUUCUUGAUAUUGUGGGUGGUGGUGCAUGGCCGUUCUUAGUUGGUGGACCGAUUUGUCUGGUUAAUUCCGAUAACGAACGAGACUCAUACCUAAUAAAUAGACACCAUUCUCCUUCGGGCGAAUGCUGACUUCUUAAAGGGACAAGCGGUGUUAAAGCCGCACGAGAAAGAGCAAUAACAGGUCUGUGAUGCCCUUAGAUGUCCGGGGCCGCACGCGCGCUACACUGAAGAGUGCAGCGUGUGUAUGGUUCCUGCUUCGAAAGGAGUGGGGAACCAUGGGAAACCUCUUCGUGCUUGGGAUAGGGCAUUGUAACUAUACCCUUGAACGAGGAAUUCCCAGUAAGCGUGAGUCAAUACCUAGCGUUGAUUACGUCCCUGCUCUUUGUACACACCGCCCGUCGCUACUACCGAUUGAAUGAUUUAGUGAGGUCUUCGGACUGAAUGUUGCAGACUCUUCGGACGAAGCGACGUUUGGAAAGAUGACCGAACUUGAUCAUUU
rnacentral:rRNA from 1 species